rnacentral:rRNA from 1 species
GAUGAACGCUGGCGGCGUGCUCAACACAUGCAAGUCGAACGGUGAAGGCGGAGCUUGCUCUGCUGGAUCAGUGGCGAACGGGUGAGUAACACGUGAGCAAUCUGCCCCUGACUCUGGGAUAAGCGCUGGAAACGGCGUCUAAUACUGGAUACGAGCUGCGAAGGCAUCUUCAGCAGCUGGAAAGAAUUUCGGUCAGGGAUGAGCUCGCGGCCUAUCAGCUUGUUGGUGAGGUAAUGGCUCACCAAGGCGUCGACGGGUAGCCGGCCUGAGAGGGUGACCGGCCACACUGGGACUGAGACACGGCCCAGACUCCUACGGGAGGCAGCAGUGGGGAAUAUUGCACAAUGGGCGAAAGCCUGAUGCAGCAACGCCGCGUGAGGGACGACGGCCUUCGGGUUGUAAACCUCUUUUAGCAGGGAAGAAGCGAAAGUGACGGUACCUGCAGAAAAAGCGCCGGCUAACUACGUG